rnacentral:lncRNA from 1 species
CCUCAGUGUCAUGCAUAGAUAAUAACUGCUGAAUGAGACAGCUUGUUGGCACAAUGGAUAGAGCCUUGAGCUUGGAGUUAGCAACACUAGGGUUCAAAUUCAGACUCAGAAACUCACUACCUCUGUGAUUCCAAAUCUCGACCACCUGGUGACCUGCAUGCCCAACAAACCCAGAUCCUUGGAGAAGAUCGCUCAGGACUCAUUUCUACCAACUGUGAUCAUGGCCAGAUACAAAGAAGAAAUGGAUCUCAUUUUUGAUAAGAAAACUGAGGUCCAGAGAGGCUGUCACUUUUCCAUGGUCAAACAGAUGUACCCUGGGAAUGAGUCUACCACUGGACAGCUGGCUUAGGCAGCUGCAGCUAUACUUAACAGGUAACUGAAGCAAAGAAUUGUUCACAUGAUGCAGUCCCCCCUCCAGCUGAUUCAAUGCAUUCAAUAAUGCUGGAGAGUUUAAAACCAUUCCUUAACUGCCAAUGGUUAGAAAUAAAGAGGAU